GCCUAUACAUUUUAAAUAAUUCCCCUUUUACUACAUAACAUUAUGAGUUUACGAGUAUUCAUCAGCGCCUUUUGCUAACAUUUUUGAGAACCGAGCGGAUCUCAGCGGUUUGUUAAAGUAAGCGGUUUUUGAAUUACCGUAACUCACAAUGCAAUUACAAUGCAAAAUAAGAAAAAGAAAUUUAUAUAGUAGAUAGUCAAUUGAGAAAAUAAGUAAACAAAAAAAGGAGUGUAAUAAUAAAUACAAAAAUUGCUCAAUGAGGGAAAUGUUGGUUCAUUAAUUUUCCACCACAGAAUGAGCCUGUAGCCUGUGUAAUUGUCCUCUCUUUCAAGUACCAACGCAUUUCAAUAAGGGCAUCAGUACCAGCUGUGCGAUGCUGCUGUGAUGCUAAGAUUUGAGAGUCAAACUCUGUCCAUAUCAACCUUCUACUAGAAAUGAGGAUGAAGAAGCUUCUGGCGCACAGACCUGGAGAAACGCUGCGCUCGCAUGAACUCAGUGGCCAGUAAUUUACUGGACGUAUAGAUGAAAAACUGUAACAAAAGUGUUGAUCUCCGCGCUCUAGUAUCGAUCAGAUACCGAUGCUGGCCUUUGUAGCGAUACUAUCGAUAUUUCGAUCGAUACACCCAGCCCUACCGGAAAUCAGUUUCUGGCUCAAACCAACUUCUGGAAUGGCACCGGUUGAUGGCGAGCAGAGCCACUUGGGACACUUCUUUCGAAGCAAGCGGUGACGUCACACCGUCUCAACGGCGGAAUCUUUAGGUCUGUCAGAUACCGGAAGUACGGUGACAAUAUGCCGUCUAUCUGCUGUACGGUCGGCUGCGAUAGAGCUAAGGCUAAAAAUUCGCAUCUUUUGUCUUCCGACUGACAACGCUAUUUAAAGAAAAUUGGUAUUUUGGGUUUUGAUCCCUACUUAAUUGUCCUUGAAAUGCUAAUUCCCCUUCAAUCUGCCUUAAAUUUGCCAAAUUUGUCCUUUGCUGAUGUAUACAUUUAUGUAAUUCAUAAUCCAUCCCCCUACACCGGCGAGUCCCUGAUGGCUUACAAGAACACUGAAGCCUACCGGUACUUCACCUCAGGUUGGGCCACCGAGGCAAAACUUUAUCACCUGGAGGACCAAAAAACAUUUUCGAUCAUGGGAAAGACUUAGCUCUAUCGCAGCCGACCACACAACAGAUAGACGGCAUAUUGACAGCGUACUUCCGGUAUCUGACGGUCCUAAAGAUGGCGCCGUUGAGACGGUGUGACGUCACAGUGAAACCCAUGAAUAGAAGCUGUUCGUAAAACAUUCAAAGAAGCCAGAGAUGACAUCAUCAGCACAGCCAUGACCUUACAUUUUAAACUGGCCCCAGCUCGCAGUGGAGGAGGGGGCUAUAGGAGGCCCAGGACACCGAUGGUGUCAUUUUUGUUUAGAGUUUCAAGAGUUUUUUUUUCUUUCUUUUUUGUUUUAAGUGAUCUUUUUAACAUAAAUAACAAUUUUAUUUUAUUUUUGCUAUUUUUGUCACCACAUUUGA